UACGAGGGGGGCGAGCGUUGUUCGGAAUUAUUGGGCGUAAAGGGUGCGUAGGCGGUUUGGUAAGUCUUAUGUGAAAUCUACAGGCUCAACUUGUAGUCUGCAUGAGAAACUGCCGGGCUUGAGUAUGGGAGAGGUGAGUGGAAUUCCUGGUGUAGCGGUGAAAUGCGUAGAUAUCAUUUGGAACGCCAAUGGUGAAAACAGGUAGCUGGGGCUGUGCUGACGCUGAGACACGAAAGCCAGGGGAGCAAACGGG
rnacentral:rRNA from 1 species